rnacentral:lncRNA from 1 species
AGCUUGGACUUUGUCAUUUGGAAGGGUGCCAUGAGUAAAGAAUCUAUAAAUCGGGGUAAUCCAACUAUCCCCCUAUUGUAAGUUGCACACUUCCGCAACCAUGAUGCUUGGUGCUACCAACAAUUCGACCUGAAUUUUUCUCCCAAUCUUGUCUUCCACCGCUGAGGCGAGGUGAGCCAAAGCAUCUGCAUGACUGUUUGCCGCUCAAGGAAUUUGGGUGAUUUGGUAGUGGAAGUGCUUGAGCAACAAUUGUGUUUGUGCCAGAUAUGCUGCCAUGAAGCUAUCCUUAGCGUCAAAGUUGUUGGUGACCUGGUUAACCACC